rnacentral:rRNA from 1 species
GAUGAACGCUGGCGGUGUGCCUAAUACAUGCAAGUCGAGCGAACAGACGAGGAGCUUACUCCUCUGACGUUAGCGGCGGACGGGUGAGUAACACGUGGAUAACCUACCUAUAAGACUGGGAUAACUUCGGGAAACCGGAGCUAAUACCGGAUAACAUGUUGAACCGCAUGGUUCAACAGUGAAAGACGGUCUUGCUGUCACUUAUAGAUGGAUCCGCGUCGCAUUAGCUAGUUGGUAAGGUAACGGCUCACCAAGGCAACGAUGCGUAGCCGACCGGAGAGGGGGUACGGCACCACUGAAGCUGAGCGGCGGCCAAGAGCCUGAGAGGAGGCACAGGUGGGAAUCUUCCGCAAUGGGCGAAAGCCUGACGGAGCAACGCCGCGUGAGUGAAGAAGGUCUUCGGAUCGUAAAACUCUGUUAUUAGGGAAGAACAAAUGUGUAAGUAACUAUGCACGUCUUGACGGUACCUAAUCAGAAAGCCACGGCUAACUACGUG